CCGGAGAGACCUAUACCUGUGUUGUAGGCCACGAGGCCCUGCCACACCUGGUGACCGAGAGGACCGUGGACAAGUCCACUGAGGGGGAGGUGAAUGCUGAGGAGGAAGGCUUUGAGAACCUGUGGACCACUGCCUCCACCUUCAUCGUCCUCUUCCUCCUGAGCCUCUUCUACAGCACCACCGUCACCCUGUUCAAGGUGAAAUGACUCUCAGCAUGGAAGGACAGCAGAGACCAAGAGAUCCUCCCACAGGGACACUACCUCUGGGCCUGGGAUACCUGACUGUAUGACUAGUAAACUUAUUCUUACGUCUUUCCUGUGUUGCCCUCCAGCUUUUAUCUCUGAGAUGGUCUUCUUUCUAGACUGACCAAAGACUUUUUGUCAACUUGUACAAUCUGAAGCAAUGUCUGGCCCACAGACAGCUGAGCUGUAAACAAAUGUCACAUGGAAAUAAAUACUUUAUCUUGUGAACUC
rnacentral:lncRNA from 1 species